rnacentral:tRNA from 1 species
AGCCCCGCAGUGAGAGUACACGUUGGAUUGCAAAUCCAAAAACGCAGAUUUACGUCUGCCGGGGCUU